UGUGAGAGCGUAAAAAUCGAACUCUUUUAAAAAUUCUCUAAGUCAAAAACUUAAUAGUAUCACUCUUCUGCUACACAGAUCUGGUCUUACUCAAAAACCUAAUUAUCUCUAUCGAAUUUCUUACUCUCAGCUCUCGAGUUCUCCUCAUAAUCUCACGCUCUCCUCUCGCUUGCCGCCUCGCCCAGUCUUGCCGUGACUUUCUCUUGCCGGUCGCCUCUCUCGACUCCCUCUCUCUGGCCGACUUGCUCUCUAUCCUCACUCUUGCUAACUCACUCUCUCGCCGCCUCUCUAUCUCUCGCUUCUUCACACCACCGCUACUCCCUUGCCGCUACAAGACCACAAUUCCUCAUCCUCAGUAUCUUUGCAGAGCCCUAUAUGAUUAAGCUGAUAUGUGGCAAAUCUAUUCUCUUAUUCAUGAUAACAGCUACAAGAUUACAUCGAAAGCAGAAAGUAGAAGAGGCUCUUGAAAAGGAUUCUUGUGGAGCAGAGGAAGGAAUUGUACUAGAAGAUGAAAUGGGCUUUAUCUAGUUUGCUAAGUUUCAUGA